UCACCUGGAGACCUUGAAGAGAGAGAACAAGAACCUGCAGCAGGAGAUCUCAGAUCUGACCGAACAGCUUGGUGAGACCGGAAAGAGUAUUCAUGAGCUGGAGAAAGCCAAGAAGACUGUGGAGACUGAGAAGUCUGAAAUUCAAACAGCACUAGAAGAAGCUGAGGGUACACUGGAGCACGAGGAGUCCAAGAUUCUCCGUAUUCAGCUUGAGCUCAACCAGGUGAAAGGUGAGGUUGACAGGAAGCUG